rnacentral:rRNA from 1 species
UACAGAGGUCCCAAGCGUUGUUCGGAUUCACUGGGCGUAAAGGGUGCGUAGGUGGUGAGGUAAGUCGGAUGUGAAAGCUCGGAGCUCAACUCCGAAAUGGCAUUGGAAACUACCUUGCUCGAGGGUUGGAGGGGGGAUUGGAAUACUUGGUGUAGCAGUGAAAUGCGUAGAUAUCAAGUGGAACACCAGUGGCGAAGGCGAAUCCCUGGAAAAUACCUGACACUGAGGCACGAAAGCUAGGGGAGCAAACAGG